rnacentral:lncRNA from 1 species
CCCGUGUUAGAAGAGCAAGCGCCCCCGCCUCAGAUGAAGCCCCGUUCUAGCCGGGAGCGCAUGCGAAUAGUUUACGUGAACAGCUUCGGCACCCACCGCUGCGGCUCCGUAAUCCAAUAUGGCGGCGGCCACAGGCGCCGUGAGGAGAAGGCCGCCGCUUCCGGUGUCGUAGACAGAGAUAUGUCCUCUACCGCUUUGAGCCGGAGGCAGGGGGUGCUGAGGGGCAAGGCGGGUGCCGUUCCGAGGGAAGGUUGCGGAAGCCCCUGGUUCCCAAUCCCUCCUGGCACCGGUCCGGGGGGAGCUGCGUCGUGUGCUGCCGCCCAGGGACCGAGCCAGGGUGGCCAGGCAGGGGGAGCCCCCAGUCUCUGGGAGAGCGGGCCGGGGCUGCGGUGCACACAGAGCAGAGCCGGCGGCUGCGCGCAGGCACCCGGGAGCCCUGCCCUUGCGCCCGGCGCCAGCCAGCGAUACGGUGGGCUUCAAAUGAAUCAGGCUGAUAAGUUUGGAUUCCCUUUCACUUCUAAAGUUGUUAAUAAAGUAAUAAAACGGAAAAAGGAAAAGUCUGAAGUCUUUCGUGGAGUGUUGAAAAUAAUUUCAAAAAUGCUUGAAGAAAAUGAAAAAUUUAGAGGCAGACUGUUGACUUGCCGUCAGUUUAAUACUGAAGGCAGUGAUGUGAACCAAAGCUCACAAAAUGAGGCUUCCUGCAUGGACGGAGAUGAGUCCAUCUUCGGAUGGGUGUAGCAAAGAAGUAAAUGAAGAUUCAGUUUCAAGUGUUGCAUUGAAUUAGUGUUCAUUUUAGAUCUGAUCUAACAUCCAUCUGACAUUAAUGAAAAGACUGACAAUGAUUUCAGUGAGUGUUGGAUCAGAGUAUAUAGUUUAUCUGUCUAGUAUUUUAGCUUGGAGAGCUGUCUUUUAAUAUGGGUUCAAUUAAAGUUUUCAGUUAGAGAGUGUUGUUUUGUUGAAAUCCUUAUUAAGCAUAAUAUAUCACUUAGUCAUUGUUCAUUUUUGCAGGCUUUUUAAUGAACAUUAUAGUGUGAUGGUUUGCAUUCAAAAGAAUAGUAAUAUUUUAUGUUAAUUAUAUUAUGAAUAUAUAUAUAUUGCAUAAUCAGCAGCUUGUCAGAAUUGUUAACAAACGUGUUUAGUAAAAUAAAAUUUCAUACAAGAUAUCUGUCUAAAAUGAA